UAGCUUUAAGUUUUUAUUUAAAGUUUUACCUGCCCGGUGAAUAUUUUAACGGCCGCAGUACUUUGACUGUGCUAAGGUAGCAUAAUAAAUUGGCUUUUAAUUAAAGUCGGGUAUGAAAGGGGUUUCGAAGAGUGACUGUCUUGAAAUAUUUUAUUUUAAAUUAUUUAAUGAGUGAAAAUACUCAUAGAUUUUUACAUUAGACGAGAAGACCCUUAGAGUUAUAAUUAAAAUGAAUUUCUUUUCAUAUUUCAUUUUUGUUGGGGCAACAAAGACUGGAUUUAACCGUCAACAGAUUGUUAUACAUAACCAAUUUAUUUAAAAGGAAAUAAACUACCUUAGGGAUAACAGCAUAAUUAAUUUUUAGAUUGUGACCUCGAUGUUGGAUUAAGGACUUUAUUUACUAGCCGUAAAUAAAGAUGGUUCUGUUCGAACUAUGAUACCUU
rnacentral:rRNA from 1 species